rnacentral:lncRNA from 1 species
AUCACUACUCAAUCCGACCGAUAUAUCGGUAAAUUGAGUACCAAAACUCAAACCGACCGCCAUGUCAUUAAACUGAGCACCAAAACUCAAACCGACCGCCAUAUCAUUAAACUGAGCACCAAACCUCAAACCGACCGCCAUGUCAUUAAACUGAGCACCAAAACUCAAAUCGACCGCCAUGUCGUUAAACUGAGCACCACAUAUCCAAUCGACCGCCGUGUCGUUAAACUGAGCAUUCCAUAUUCAAACCGACCGCCAUGUCAUUAAACUGAGCAUCACUACUCAAUCCGACCGAUAUGUCGGUAAACUGAGUACUAAAAUUCAAACCGACCGCCAUGUUAUUAAACUGAGCACCAAAACUCAAACCGACCGUCAUGUCAUUAAACUGAGCACCAAAACUC